CUCUCUCUCUCGCUCGGUCGCUCGCUUUUUCUUGUUCUUCUUCAAACCAUCGAUUACUCGUCCUCUUCAACUCGCUUUUCGCUUCGCCGUUGCUCCCGUUGGUGGCGUUCCGAUGCGGUCUACGAUGCCGUCAUCUUACAUCGAUCAGAACUCCUCGCCGAUAUUAUUGCUUCGAGGGGUUGGGAAAUCAGAAGGGGUUUGAUGGCCAAACUCAUGCCAGAUGGGGGAGACAACCACCUGGAUUCGCACUCCUCAACUCGCCGUCUAAUGCUGGUCCAGACUCCGUAUUGGCUAAAUGGGUACGUGGAUCAUGCCAUUCCUCGUUCUUGGUAGUUUAUAGUGCCAUUCAUAAAUGAUCAAAGCAAACUCUUUUCCCCUUCCAUAAGAUUGCCUCUCACGAAGCCAUGGUCCUCUUUCACAAGUAACACACCCAUGGAUUUACUUGGGUUACGAACACAAGUUAUGUUGCAAGGAACAGGAAACUAGAAAGGGCGGGAACCACUGUUGAGCAAGACGAGACUCCAAAACAAGCUUGGACAGACUAGGUUAUACAUAUGCAUGUCACCUAAACAAAUGUGAAUCUAAUCUAUCCGACGUCAAUUCAAAUUUGCUAUACAACACCAGAAUAGUAGAGUAGAUGGUACACAAAAAAUAAAUUCCCCUCGCAGUACCUGAACCACUUAUUCGAUAUCCAAACCACUGGGACU